rnacentral:rRNA from 1 species
CAGCCGCCGCGGGAAUACCGAUGGUGCGAGCGUUAAUCGGAUUUACUGGGCGUAAAGCGUGCGUAGGCGGCUUCUUAAGUCGGAUGUGAAAUCCCUGAGCUUAACUUAGGAAUUGCAUUCGAUACUGGGAAGCUAGAGUAUGGGAGAGGAUGGUAGAAUUCCAGGUGUAGCGGUGAAAUGCGUAGAGAUCUGGAGGAAUACCGAUGGCGAAGGCAGCCAUCUGGCCUAAUACUGACGCUGAGGUACGAAAGCAUGGGGAGCAAACAGGAUUAGAUACCCCCGUAGUCCCUGUCUCUUAUAC